AGAACUGAUAUUCUGACAGGUGGAAUGACGGAGUAACGUCCUGAAACGCCUGCCCUAAAACUACGGCAAGCAUAGUUGAAGCAAUUAAGAUUAUGUUUGGAGCCCGUGAAGUCGGCAGAAGUUUGCCCAAACAGGAAAAGCUGUGGAAAGUGCCUUAGAGGUAAGGUAUGCAGAUGAUAUGUCGGGGGUCUAUAAA
rnacentral:ncRNA from 1 species